rnacentral:rRNA from 1 species
UUAACCGAAUAGGGGAGCCGAAGGGAAACCGAGUCUUAACCGGGCGUUAAGUUGCAGGGUAUAGACCCGAAACCCGGUGAUCUAGCCAUGGGCAGGUUGAAGGUUGGGUAACACUAACUGGAGGACCGAACCGACUAAUGUUGAAAAAUUAGCGGAUGACUUGUGGCUGGGGGUGAAAGGCCAAUCAAACCGGGAGAUAGCUGGUUCUCCCCGAAAGCUAUUUAGGUAGCGCCUCGUGAAUUCAUCUCCGGGGGUAGAGCACUGUUUCGGCAAGGGGGUCAUCCCGACUUACCAACCCGAUGCAAACUGCGAAUACCGGAGAAUGUUAUCACGGGAGACACACGGCGGGUGCUAACGUCCGUCGUGAAGAGGGAAACAACCCAGACCGCCAGCUAAGGUCCCAAAGUCAUGGUUAAGUGGGAAACGAUGUGGGAAGGCCCAGACAGCCAGGAUGUUGGCUUAGAAGCAGCCAUCAUUUAAAGAAAGCGUAAUAGCUCACUGGUCGAGUCGGCCUGCGCGGAAGAUGUAACGGGGCUAAACCAUGCACCGAAGCUGCGGCAGCGACACUGUGUGUUGUUGGGUAGGGGAGCGUUCUGUAAGCCUGUGAAGGUGUGCUGUGAGGCAUGCUGGAGGUAUCAGAAGUGCGAAUGCUGACAUAAGUAACGAUAAAGCGGGUGAAAAGCCCGCUCGCCGGAAGACCAAGGGUUCCUGUCCAACGUUAAUCGGGGCAGGGUGAGUCGACCCCUAAGGCGAGGCCGAAAGGCGUAGUCGAUGGGAAACAGGUUAAUAUUCCUGUACUUGGUGUUACUGCGAAGGGGGGACGGAGAAGGCUAUGUUGGCCGGGCGACGGUUGUCCCGGUUUAAGCGUGUAGGCUGGUUUUCCAGGCAAAUCCGGAAAAUCAAGGCUGAGGCGUGAUGACGAGGCACUACGGUGCUGAAGCAACAAAUGCCCUGCUUCCAGGAAAAGCCUCUAAGCAUCAGGUAACAUCAAAUCGUACCCCAAACCGACACAGGUGGUCAGGUAGAGAAUACCAAGGCGCUUGAGAGAACUCGGGUGAAGGAACUAGGCAAAAUGGUGCCGUAACUUCGGGAGAAGGCACGCUGAUAUGUAGGUGAAGUCCCUCGCGGAUGGAGCUGAAAUCAGUCGAAGAUACCAGCUGGCUGCAACUGUUUAUUAAAAACACAGCACUGUGCAAACACGAAAGUGGACGUAUACGGUGUGACGCCUGCCCGGUGCCGGAAGGUUAAUUGAUGGGGUCAGCGCAAGCGAAGCUCUUGAUCGAAGCCCCGGUAAACGGCGGCCGUAACUAUAACGGUCCUAAGGUAGCGAAAUUCCUUGUCGGGUAAGUUCCGACCUGCACGAAUGGCGUAAUGAUGGCCAGGCUGUCUCCACCCGAGACUCAGUGAAAUUGAACUCGCUGUGAAGAUGCAGUGUACCCGCGGCAAGACGGAAAGACCCCGUGAACCUUUACUAUAGCUUGACACUGAACAUUGAGCCUUGAUGUGUAGGAUAGGUGGGAGGCUUUGAAGUGUGGACGCCAGUCUGCAUGGAGCCGACCUUGAAAUACCACCCUUUAAUGUUUGAUGUUCUAACGUGGACCCGUGAUCCGGGUUGCGGACAGUGUCUGGUGGGUAGUUUGACUGGGGCGGUCUCCUCCUAAAGAGUAACGGAGGAGCACGAAGGUUGGCUAAUCCUGGUCGGACAUCAGGAGGUUAGUGCAAUGGCAUAAGCCAGCUUGACUGCGAGCGUGACGGCGCGAGCAGGUGCGAAAGCAGGUCAUAGUGAUCCGGUGGUUCUGAAUGGAAGGGCCAUCGCUCAACGGAUAAAAGGUACUCCGGGGAUAACAGGCUGAUACCGCCCAAGAGUUCAUAUCGACGGCGGUGUUUGGCACCUCGAUGUCGGCUCAUCACAUCCUGGGGCUGAAGUAGGUCCCAAGGGUAUGGCUGUUCGCCAUUUAAAGUGGUACGCGAGCUGGGUUUAGAACGUCGUGAGACAGUUCGGUCCCUAUCUGCCGUGGGCGCUGGAGAACUGAGGGGGGCUGCUCCUAGUACGAGAGGACCGGAGUGGACGCAUCACUGGUGUUCGGGUUGUCAUGCCAAUGGCACUGCCCGGUAGCUAAAUGCGGAAGAGAUAAGUGCUGAAAGCAUCUAAGCACGAAACUUGCCCCGAGAUGAGUUCUCCCUGACCCUUUAAGGGUCCUGAAGGAACGUUGAAGACGACGACGUUGAUAGGCCGGGUGUGUAAGCGCAGCGAUGCGUUGAGCUAACCGGUACUAAUGAACCGUGAGGCUUAACCUUACAACGCCGAAGGUGUUU